ACUCCUGUGGCUCAGUUGGUAGAACAUUGUGCUAAAAAUGCAAAGGUUUUUGGUUCAUAUCCCAGGGAAAGCA